GACGGAAGGUGCAAGCGUUGCUCGGAAUCACUGGGCGUAAAGGGUGCGUAGGCGGCUUGGUAAGUUGGGUGUGAAAGCCCCGGGCUCAGCCCGGGAAGGGCACUCGAAACUGCCGAGCUGGAGUGCCGGAGGGGAGAGUGGAAUUCCUGGUGUAGCGGUGAAAUGCGUAGAUAUCAGGAGGAAUACCGGUGGCGAAAGCGACUCUCUGGACGGCAACUGACGCUGAGGCACGAAGGCCAGGGGAGCAAACGGG
rnacentral:rRNA from 1 species